CCAUUCCCAUUUUGGGCGGAAUAGAUCUACUAAUUCUUUGAUUCCAGUUAGUAAAGAGGGACCUUGAACUAAGAAAUAGAUUCUAGAAGCUAACUAGAAGCUAAACUAAAAAAAGGUAUCCUGAGCAAUUGCAAUAAUCGGGUUCAUUGAUAUUCUUGGUACAGUAAAUGCUAUCACACAUACAAUCAUACUCAAUUCGAUGGGAUUGUUUGAUCUUAAAGGGGAUCUUCUAUAAUUUCGCACGUGAGGGGUUAUUUAUUGGUUUCGUUCAGUCAUUAAUAACUUGAUUAUUUUUAGAUAAUAGUAGAUCGAAACAACGCUCGUAAGGAGUCCUAUUGAAACCAAGAAAUAUAGGCCUACCUGCCAUCCACACCAGAAUAAAUAGAGUUUUCCGAAAAAAAAUCUGCUAGUGGAGGAAGACCUCCUAGAGAUAAGAGACAUAGAGCCAAAGAGAGAGCCAAAAAAUUAUCUUUUGUGUAUAAUCCUGCAUAAUCUUGAAUGUUAUCAGUUCCGAUACGUAGACCAAAUGAUACAAUGCAAGCAAAAGUUCCUAGAUUCAUGGACAUAUAAAACAAUAUAUAAGUUAUCAUGCUCGCAUAUCCACCAUUUGAGUCUCCAACAAUUAUUCCAAUAAUUACAUAUCCGAUUUUACCUAUGGACGAAUAUGCAAGCAUGUGUUUCAUGCUUAAAAAUGGGAAUGUAUCCUAGAAGCAUACGUUAGUAAAAAAGGACCUUGAACUAAGAAAUAGAUUCUAGAAGUUAAACCAAAAAAGGGUAUCCUAAGCAAUUGCAAUAAUCGGGUUCAUUGAUAUUCCUGGUAUAGUAGAUGCUAUCACACAUACAAUCAUACUCAAUUCGAUGGAAUUGCUUGAU
rnacentral:lncRNA from 1 species